rnacentral:lncRNA from 1 species
CGCAGGCAUUUAUUUCCAAGGCACUGGCCUCUCUGGUGUCUGAAAAAUCCCAUGUUGUAACUGCAUCAGGGCCCUUAGCCCAUUCCUUAACUUCGGCCCUUAACUGAACAAAGUUCUUUACUUGUUCAUUGCAGUACUCAGGGCCAACCCUACUAGCAGAUAUCAGUAUCUCCUCAAAAAAUACGUGAAAUAUGAGAUUCAAAGCCAGGCAGCCAAUGCAAAGCGAAGCCUUAAUAGCGGUCAACAUUGUUACUCUAAUUAUUAUACCAUCAUCUCCCUCGAGUUCCAUCGAGUAUCCUUGGCAGGUGCAGCCCCGCGCCCAGGGCUCUCAGCGGUUUCCGAGGCCUCACGCGCUGGCUGGGCCGUUAAGAUCGGUUGGGGGCUCCCAGGCCGCGAGGCGCGCGGCCAGUUGGGAUGAAAAUGGCGGAUGAGGCCGGGCGCGGUGGCUCACGCCUGUGGUCCCAGCACUUUGGGAGGCCGAGGCGGGCGGAUCACAAGGUCAGGAGAUCCAGACCAUCCUGGUUAACACUGUGAAACCCCGUCUCUUCUAAAAAUACAAAAAAAAAUUAGCCAGGCGUGGUGGCGGGCGCUUGUAGUCCCAGCUACUCAGAAGGCUGAGGCAGGAGAAUGGCGUGAACCCGGGAGGCACAGCUUGCAGCGAGCCAAGAUGGCGCCGCUGCACUCCAGCCUGGGCGACAGAGCGAGACUCCAUCUCAAAAAAGAAAAGAAAAGAAAAGAAACCGGCGGACGAAGGAAGAGAUCCUCCUUCAGGCAGGGUAGGGAAGAACGGCACUCGGUGACCAGAGACCUUUUCCAGGACCAUGUCUUUGAAGCAUAUCUCAGCUCUUGUCUUCCGGAAGCGAUGGAGACAGAAUCCAGAAGCCUGAGACUCUCUCCUUUCCUGGCUUUGAUGAAGCAAGCUGCCACACUGGAGAGGCCUACAUGAUAAGGACCUGAAGGUGGCCUCCAGCUAGCUCCAGCCAACAGUUGGCAAGGAAUUGAGGACCUGAGUCCAAUAGACCUUGAGGAACUGAAUCCUGCCAACAGCUACACAAGUGAGCAUGGCAGUGUAUCCUUCCCCAGUAAAGUCUUCAGAUGAGACCCCAGCCCCAGCUGACACCUUGAUUGCAGCCUUGUGAGAGACUCUGAAGCAGAGAAACCAGCUAGGCCUUGCCUGGAUUCCUGAUCCACAAACUGCUUUUGUGAUGCCCUAUAAUUACAUGAACUCUACUAAAAAGAGGGAUACUGAAAAGAAGAAUAAUGUUGAGUCACCUUUGCAGAAGAAAAAACAACUUCCUCUCUUCCUCUACUUCACUCUGGCAAGUUCUCCAACCUGACAAGCCAGUAGGGUGAGUAACAGGAUAGUGAUGAAGUUAGAAGCAAAGAGAUCUUAUAGGAGCCUGAGUAGAAUGCCCGUUAGGGGUGCCCUUAGUUGAUUGGUCUUGAAGAACCUCAAGGAUCUGUAGAAUAGCUCAAAUUGUCAUUGAUAAUAUUAACAUGGUUCACAUAUGUAAGUGGCUUCAUUUAUAAAGUCCUUUUACAUACAGUAUUCCAUGUGAUGCUCAAAACCAUCACAUGGGGCCAGGUGUGGUGGCUUAUGCCUGUAAUCCCAGUACUUUGGGAGGCCAAGGCGGGAGGAUCACAAGGUCAGGAGAUUGAGACCAUCCUGGCUAACAUGGUGAAACCCCGUUUCUACUAAAAAUACAAAAAAUUAGCCAGGCAUGGUGGCCAGCGCCUGUAGUCCCAGGUACUCAAAAGUUGAGGCAAGAGAAUGGCGUGAACCCGGGAGGUGGAGCUUGCAGUGAGUGGAGAUCGCACCACUGCACUCCAGCCUGGGCAGCAGAGCAAGACUCUGUCUCAAAUAAAAUAAAAUAAAAUAAAAUAAAAAUAAUAAAAAUAAAUCACAUGAAGUACGGAUGUCAGUGGUUAUCUCAAAGAGGAGGAUGUCAAAGUACUUAUACAAAGUGGAGAGACAGAAGUUGUGACUCCAAACCAACCAACCAGUAGUCCUUCCACAAUAGAUCUCACACGGCCACCUAUUGGGCAGCACCUAUUGUCCAGGUUCAUCACUCCUUCAUGUGCAUGGAUGGGCAGAGCAGGGACUCCCAGAGGUGUCUCAGGUCUGAUUGCUUUCCCGUGAGCCUCUCCUGUGAGGACUGUUUUCUAAGAGAGACUGUAUCUAGUAACUGACAUCCUCAGAAAUUGGGAACCUGAGACCUCAUGGAAGAGACAGGAAGGGUCAUCCUUGGGGAGCUGAGGUUGAAUGGGCAGAACCUUACCUUUAAAUGUCCCAUUUUUCUUUCUCCUCUUGGCUCUGCCUUGAUGCUAAGAACAAAAAGAAAAUAAU